rnacentral:rRNA from 1 species
UACGUAGGUGGCAAGCGUUGUCCGGAAUUAUUGGGCGUAAAGCGCGCGCAGGCGGUUCUUUAAGUCUGAUGUGAAAGCCCACGGCUCAACCGUGGAGGGUCAUUGGAAACUGGAGAACUUGAGUACAGAAGAGGAAAGCGGAAUUCCACGUGUAGCGGUGAAAUGCGUAGAGAUGGGGAGGAACACCAGUGGCGAAGGCGGCUUUCUGGUCUGUAACUGACGCUGAGGCGCGAAAGCGUGGGGAGCAAACAGG